AGGACCUGAAGCUGAUUGGGAUAAGUUUACCUAAAUACACAGCUGAGAUAGCCGAGAACAGAGGGAAGAACCACUACAACAAUGUUCUGCCAUGAUAUUUCUCGAGUCAAACUUUCAGUUCAGACCCAUUCGACAGAUGACUACAUCAAUGCCAACUAUAUAGGGCUACCAUUCCAAGAAAGAUUUCAUUGCCACACAAGGACCUUUACCCAACACUUUGAAAGAUUUCUGGCGUAUGGUUUGGGAGAAAAACGUAUAUGCCAUUGUUAUGUUGACCAAAUGCGUGGAGCAGGGAGACCAAAUGUGAGGAGUACUGGCCUUCCAAGCAGGCUCAGGAAUAUGGGGACAUAACUGUGGCGAUGACAUUAGAAGUCGUUCUUCCAGAAUGGACCAUCAGAGAUUUUGUGGUGAAGAUGCAGAAUAGCGGGAGCCAUCCUCUGCGGCAGUUCCAUUUCACCUCCUGGCCUGACCACGGUGUUCCUGACACCACUGACCUGCUCAUCAACUUUUGGUACCUGGUCCGGGAUUACAUGAAGCAGAUACCCCCCGAGUCACCAAUCCUGGUGCAUCUAGUGCCGGGGUUGGAAGGACGGGCACUUUCAUCGCCAUCGAUCGCCUGAUCUAUCAGAUAGAGAAUGAGAACACCGUGGAUGUGUAUGGGAUUGUCUAUGAUCUUCGGAUGCACAGGCCUCUGAUGGUGCAGACAGGACCAGUAUGUUUUCCUCAAUCAGUGUGUUUUGGAUAUUAUCAGAGCCCAGAAAGACUCAAAAGUUGAUCUCAUCUAUCAGAACACAACGGCAAUGACAAUCUAUGAAAACCUCGAGCCAGUGAGCAUGUUUGGAAAGACUAAUGGUUACAU
rnacentral:lncRNA from 1 species